AUAUACAUUUGUAUAAACUUACUUAUGUAAGAAUACUAACAUUUAAUGCUAGGCGAGGUGGAGAACCUGGAAAGUUAACAUUAGCAGAUUGGGCUAUGGUAGAAAAAGGCAGGUGGAAACGCCUAACUGACAUAGAUGCUUUAGAUGAUCCAAUAGAAAAAAAGCUUGCAGAACGAUUUAAACUAUGUUACAUUGAAGGCAAAAAAAACGGAGAGGUUCUUCUGUAAAAGCAUUAGUUCCGAUUAUUUUUACUGAGGAAGUUGUUGGUGCAAUCAGACUAUUAAUCAGCUCAAGGCAUUAUGCUAAUAUUUCUC